CCUUUUGAAAAGCUGAAUUCCCAGGGGUAAAGCCCUGGGAUACGGGGGACCCAACCUUUUUGGGGUGAAUCAGAAGCAAAAAAGCUUCUGUAGGGCUAACCCUUUCGGCCCGAACCCGUCAGCUAACCUCGGAAGCUUUGAAAGGGAGGCAAA
rnacentral:sRNA from 2 species